rnacentral:miRNA from 1 species
AAUUACUAUUAGGUUGGUGCAAAAGUAAUUGUGGUUUUGCCACUUAAAGUAAUGGCAAAAACUGCAAUUUCUUUUGCACCAAUCUAACA